rnacentral:rRNA from 1 species
CUGCAACUCGCCUCGCAUGAAGUCGGAAUUGCUAGUAAUCGCGGAUCAGCAUGCCGCGGUGAACACGUUCUCGGGCCUUGUACACACCGCCCGUCACACCAUGGGAGUCGGUAACACCCGAAGUCUGUAGCCUGACGCAAGAGGGCGCAGCCGAAGGUGGGAUUGAUGACUGGGGUGAAGUCGUAACAAGGUAGC